rnacentral:rRNA from 1 species
UACGGAGGGUGCAAGCGUUGUCCGGAAUCACUGGGCGUAAAGGGCGCGUAGGCGGCUAUGUAAGUCACUUGUGAAAUCCCGGGGCUCAACUCCGGGGCCGCAGGUGAGACUGUGUGGCUAGAGCACGGUAGAGGCAGAUGGAAUUCCCGGUGUAGCGGUGGAAUGCGUAGAGAUCGGGAAGAACAUCAGUGGCGAAGGCGGUCUGCUGGGCCGUUGCUGACGCUGAGGCGCGACAGCGUGGGGAGCAAACAGG